GAGCUAUUCUCACACCAGGCUAUCAAACAGUGUGCAAUAGCUUUCGAUUUCACACAAAUAGGUUGUCACUUGUGUUGAUUAAAGCUCACUUCACUUGUGCUUCUUCGUCUAGGGGAGUUCUCAAAAGCUGCAUCUGAACUCAUCAUUUGCUGUAAGAAGACCUUUUCAACUUCUGAUCUUCCUGAGUCCUCAGGAGAAGAUGAUGUGAAGGUUGAUGAUGCCCCUAAAUUGAUGGACGUUCUUUAAUGAUCCAGAUGCAGCAAGUGCAAAUGAUGAUGAAUUAAGUUCAAUUUCAGGCUACAAGUGAGUUUGUCUAUCAUGAAA